rnacentral:rRNA from 1 species
AUGGCGAACCAGCUGCCGGUGCAGCAGCAGGUCGACCCGCUUGGACAUGGAGAUCUCAACCAGCAUCGCAUGUGCGCCCCACGGCAGCAAAACCUGAACAACGUUCCUGUCAUCCACCUUGACAUUGGACGUCCACCGCAUGGAGAAGAAGACGACCUGGCCCAGCGCUAUGAGAAUUUCGUGCGGAUAAUCAUCCGCCGAUUAACAAAGAUCUGCCCUGCAACCUAUUACGGAAAGCCAAUUACGGAAUUACCCCAUACCCAAAUGCAGCGAACCAUCCUAGAUCCUACUGAGGGUCAUAGCUACUUCCGUGUCGUCUUCUUUUCAAGCACCAAUGAUUAUGCGAGAGUGGAAUUCCUGAUAAGGGACUUUGACCUCUAUCUACUGGGAUUUAGAAGGCAGCUGGAUGGCGAGUGGUCGGCUUGGUUCCGUUUUACUCCUACUCUGGGGUGGCCGUCAUUCCCGAUGGGCAAUGUUGUAAACUAUGAGUUUGAUGGGGGCCAUCAGGACAAGGUUGACAUGGGUGGUCGCACAACUCUAGAGUUUAUCUUCCACACAAUUUGGACGUGGCACCCGAAUGAUAUGACAAGCUCAAAUCUGAAGCUGGCGCUUCAAAAAGCAAUUACGCUUAUUUGCGAAGCACUACGAUUCCAGUAUGUUUUGAUGAGCUGGUCAGGAGGAUCCAAAAUGGAGCGAAUCCAACCGCCCUGGACAUUGCAGGGCUGCCUAGCUGGAGAGUCUGGAAGCGCAUUGGCAGCUGGGGCGUCAUGUGUGAAAUUGCCUUAG